rnacentral:lncRNA from 1 species
GAGGGAUUCAGAGAAAAGGACUGCAUGAUAUAAGCCUUAAUGGAAUGACGGACCAGUACUCUACUCAGAUGCUCAAGUCCACCAGGAGUUGCGUACAGUCCUGGCCAUGAGAUGGAAGUCCCAGGGAAGAUCACAAAAUACAGC